rnacentral:tRNA from 1 species
GUCCCCGUAGCUCAAUUGGAUAGAGCGUCUCCCUCCGGAGGAGAAGAUUGCGCGUUCGAGUCGCGCUGGGGGCA